rnacentral:tRNA from 1 species
AUCCACUUAAUAUAUAAGUAUAUUUGACUUCCAAUCAAAAAGACUGAUUAAAUCAGAAUGGAUA